rnacentral:rRNA from 1 species
GUGGAAAUGGCGGAGGGGCUACACCCGUUCCCAUGCCGAACACGGAAGUUAAGUCCUCCAGCGCCCAUGGUACUCGGGACGCAAGUCCCCGGGAGAGUAGGUCUCCGCCAGGA